UACAGAGGGUGCAAGCGUUAAUCGGAAUUACUGGGCGUAAAGCGUGCGUAGACGGUUACAUAAGUCGGGUGUGAAAGCCCCGGGCUCAACCUGGGAAUUGCAUUCGAGACUGCGUAGCUAGGGUGCGGAAGAGGGAAGCGGAAUUUCCGGUGUAGCGGUGAAAUGCGUAGAUAUCGGGAAGAACACCGGUGGCGAAGGCGGCUCUCUGGACCUGUCCUGACGCUCAGGCGCGAAAGCUAGGGGAGCGAACAGG
rnacentral:rRNA from 1 species